GUGAAUGGCGUCUAAAGGGAGGAGCUUCCGAAACUCAGAGUCCUGUUACUGAACGCUGGAGAUUUUGGGAGUGAAGGAGCAGCUCAAGUCAUUUUCUCUUCGCAGGUUUCUUCGCACAUCUAAAGGACGCACUCUUCGUUCGCCUCACCGCGCAGGAUCACGCUCUCAGGAUUGAAGCAUGGAUGAUGAUUUUGAGCGGCGCAGGGAGCUUAGGAGACAGAAGCGGGAGGAGAUGCGUCUGGAAGCCGAGAGGAUGGCGUAUCGCCGGAAUGAGGAGGAUGAAGAAGAGGCCGCUCGUGAGCGCAGACGAAGAGCGCGGCAGGAGAGAAUGCGCAGUAAGGACAGCGAGGAUGUGGCCUACCAACCCGAGACCCCGGAGCUCAACAACAGCCACAGUGUGACAGUGACAGAGAGCGUAUCCACCUCAGUAGUGACCUCCAGCGGGACGGGAGAAGGGGAUGAUGAGGAACAGGCCCUGCUGGAGCGCCUGGCCAAGAGAGAGGAGCGCAGGCUGAGGAGGAUGAAGGAGGCGCAGGACAGACAGCAGGAGGAGGAGAGCAGCCAACCCUCCCGCUACAGCCUGGAGGAGAGCAGCGUAGGCCUGCGUCGUGGCCGGAGCUACGAGCCAGAGGAGGAGCACAACAGCAAGGAGCAGGAGAAAGAGGAGGUGAAACAGGCAGAAGAAGAGGAGGAGGAGGAGGAGGAAGAGGAGGAGGUCGUUCCUAGAGAGGAGGUGGUGGUGGAGGAAAAACCACGGAGGUCUUAUUUGAGAGAACCGGAAUCCGUUGAGGAAAUGCCAAAAAUAGCUGAUGAGGACAAUAAUGAGCGAGAUGAUGUGCCUUCUUCCGAAGCACAUGAGGUGGUUUUAAAUGAAGACGUAGAUGAUUCUGCAGUGCUUUCGGAGACGGAAAAUGGCACCGCAGAGCUCGCUGCAGGUGUACAGGAGGAAAAGAGUGAGAUAGAGGGAUUGACAGAGAACGGAGUGGAUGAAAUGAGAGAGGCAGAAAACUUUGAGAAAGAUGAGGUUUCAGAAAAUGACGAGUUGUUGAUGGAAGAUGAAGAUCUGAUGAGGAAGAAUAAACAGCCCAAUGGAGGAGUGUGUGAGGACAGCACUCCCAAACACAAGAAAGCUGAGAGGACUUUCAGCCGAGGCAGCUUGCGCUCUCCCGAGGCGCCGGAGACAGACGAGGCGGACAGUGAGGAUGCUCGCUUGGAGGCUGAGAGAAAGCUGGAGGAACUGAAGAGGAGGAGAGAUGAGAUGGAGAGCGAGGAGUUCGAGAGGAUGAGGCAGAAACAGCAGGAGGCCGAGGUGGAGCUGGAGGAGCUGAAGAGGAAGAGGGAGGAAAGGAGGAAGGUGCUGGAAGAGGAGGAGCGGCGGAGGAAGCAGGAGGAGGCCGAGAGGAAAGCCAGAGAGGAGGAGGAAAAGAGGAGGAUGAAGGAGGAGAUUGAGAAGAGAAGAGCAGAGGCGGCUGAGAAGAGGCAGAAAGUGGAGGAUUCGGUGGACGGAGAGACCAAGAAGCCCUUUAAGUGUGUCAGUCCCAGAGGAUCCUCCCUGAAGAUCGGUGAGAGGGCAGAAUUUCUCAACAGAUCAGCACAGAAGAGUUCUGUGAAGGCAUCUCACUCUCCUGUGGUGUCUAAGAUUGAUAACCGAUUAGAGCAGUACACCAGCGCAGUGCAGGGCAACAAAGAGGUCAGGUCUCCCAGAUCAGGAGCCAUAGAUCUUCCCAUGGUGACGGACGGUAUUCGCAACAUCAAGAGCAUGUGGGAGAAGGGGAAUGUCUUCAGCUCUGGUGGGAGCCCAGCAUCCACCAACAAGGAUGCAGCUGGGAUAAAGGUGGGCGUGGCCGGCCGCAUCAACGAUUGGUUGAAUAAAACUCCAGAGACGGGCAAAACAUCAGGAGGAAGACCCGCGGACCUGAAACCAGGCGACGUGACCAGCAAACGCAAUCUAUGGGAAAACAAGGGCUCCUCUGCUACCAAGCCGUCCCCUUGCUAAUUGUCUACAGAUCUGACCACCUUGAGGAGGUCACAAGCAGAGGAGAGACCAAAUCCGUCACCAAUGGAAUGGGCCAUUAACCUUUCAAAGAUGCCAGAGAGGCAGGGACCAAGAGAAUGCACAACAUUCCUUUUUUUUUUUUUUUUUUUAAACUUUUAUUAAUACCAAAAAAAAUACAAGCAUUUUAUACUGCCAGGAAGAUCUAUGUGAGUAGACACAGUAUAAAAGAGAGAAAAAUACAAAAAUAUAUAUAUUUUAUCACUGUAUUCACAGGUCACCGUCUUGCACCAUCAUAACAUAAACGCAAUGCCUUUGCAUGUAACUUCUGUUAGACUGAAAUCUAGGCUGUGGAAACAAGCAAUUUGUUUAGAUUAUACAACAGCAGCAACCAACAUCACAAGAUUCCUUGAAAAGGAGGACGAGGAGUAGCAAUCCGAAUUGUCUUUUCUCAAAUCACGUUAGUUACCCUUCUCACCUGUUAAUUUAUAACUAAAGCAAAGCUUCACCUUGCAUUUCAUUUGUGUUCGCCAGUUUCAGACCGAAUAUGAGCACCCGUAGAGUAGCUGUAUUUUGUACUUUUUGUCGUAACGACACUUUUUUUUUUUUUUUAAAAAUUGUCUUAAUAAUAUAUGUUAGCACAUAGUGUAAGUUUUUGUAAUUAACUAUAUAUUGUACUGCUUGAUACAAAAUGGUCUUUGCUUUUGCUCUCAAUAUUAUUUUAUAUCAAAGCAAGUUUUAAUUCAGUCCAUUAUAGUCAUACCGUUAGCAUUAUUAGCAUUAUCUUUUGGCUUUUUUAUUUUUGGAAACACUGGUCUGAAGGUGUUUGUGACCAUCUUUUUGUAAGUGUUAAUCGGUAUUGUUUUUUUAAACAUUUAAAAAAAUUGAAACUCGAAAGUAAGGGAACGUGCACUUUUUGGCUUAAAUCACAUAUUUGAUGAGUACAUUUCACAAUUUUUGCAUAAAAUGCAAAACCGAACAGAAGGACAAAUUCAUGUUCGUUGUUCAAGUGUUUCAUUUUUCCUGUUGCAAUCAUACUAAAUUGCAACACAGACGCUAGUUGGCAGAACGCUAGUUAAUGUCGUCAUUUAAACAUGUAUCAUUUCUGACGACAAAGAAUAUCCAGUUCUGCCGCCGUAGCUUAUUGCUAAUGUCUCUAAAUGUUCAACGUUCCUGUAUUCUGCUUGUAUGUUUUUUUUUUUUUUUUUUUUUGACAAUCAAGUUUUUUACUAUUUGUUUCAACACUUAUGUUAACACUAUGCAAGUCGCACCACCUUUAAUUGCAAUUACCUUGUUACAAAUAUGAUCGUUUGUAGCCGAUAGUUCCAUACAGAGCAACUGUUUCAACUUGUAUCAUUGUCUCAGUGACCACAAUAAAGAGACCAAUGAAAAACA